AUACUACUCCAUCCGUCCCAAAAUUCUUGUUUCGAUUUGUCUUGACACGGAUGUAUCUAAUAUUAAAACGUGACUUGAUACAUCCUAUUUAAACAAAUCUAAGACAAAAAUUUUGGGAGGAGGAAGUACUAU
rfam:Triticum aestivum genome assembly, contig: Triticum_aestivum_CS42_TGACv1_scaffold_558736_7AL